AAAUUAGUAAUUUUUUGUUUUGAAAACAAGAAUAAAGGAUUUUUCCUUUUAGUUUU
rnacentral:tRNA from 1 species